AGCUGUAACACAUUUUAAAAUUACAGCAUGGUUAUGUUUUCACUUGGUUCUGACUGUAAAUGAUACAUUUACAGUUAAACACUGUUAGGCUAAUAUUGGCAGUUUGCAAGAGGAUAGGCAUUUGAUGGCGGGAGGAGGAGAGCGAACCCAGCAUUCAUCCACUCAAUAAAGAGAUCGAAUCAACCUUGAAGUGAGGUGAGGAGAGAAAGCUGCAAAAACAACAUUUUGAUGCUUCCUGGGGAUCAACCCAACGUCUGGCACAAAGGCCACAAAGUGGAUCAGUCCAAGAAGUGGGAAGGUGCAAGAGAAGUGGAACAGCAAUGUCAACCUUCAUGUCUCUGCACUUCUAAAAAGGUUAAUGGACUUUGAAUGGCUUUGAGCCCGUUUGCAAAAGAAACAAUAAUGGCACACUGUUUUGUAUAAAAAAAACAAAAAAACAAUGGUUCCAAGAUGUGGUUAUUUUUUACACAUUUGACUUUGUUG